ACCCCACACAAAUAAGCCGACCUUCUUGACGAAUCAUAAUCAGAAGCGUGUGCUCGUUGUGGGAACAGCAAAGUCUGCGCAUUGUGUAUAGUUGUUUUGUUUUCUAAAUUCAACUAAAGAUUUCGCGCAGGACA
rnacentral:snoRNA from 1 species